CCUGGCUCAGGAUGAACGCUAGCGACAGGCCUAACACAUGCAAGUCGAGGGGCAGCACAAGGAGCAAUCUGAGGUGGCGACCGGCGCACGGGUGAGUAACACGUAUGCAACCGGCCUGUAAGCGGGGAAUAACCCGUUGAAAGACGGACUAAUACCGCAUAAUACUAAAUUACUGCAUGGUAAUUUAUUUAAACAUUUAUGGCUUACAGAUGGGCAUGCGCAUGAUUAGCUAGUUGGAGAGGUAACGGCUCCCCAAGGCAACGAUCAUUAGGGGUUCUGAGAGGAAGGUCCCCCCACACUGGUACUGAGACACGGACCAGACUCCUACGGGAGGCAGCAGUGAGGAAUAUUGGUCAAUGGACGAGAGUCUGAACCAGCCAAGUCGCGUGCAGGAAGAAUUGUCCUAUGGAUUGUAAACUGCUUUUGCAGGGGAAUAAAGUGCAUCACGUGUGAUGUUUUGUAUGUACUCUGCGAAUAAGGAUCGGCUAACCCCGUGCCAGCCGCGGC
rnacentral:rRNA from 1 species